rnacentral:rRNA from 1 species
GGGUUGUGAGGUUAAGCGACUAAGCGUACACGGUGGAUGCCCUGGCAGUCAGAGGCGAUGAAGGACGUGCUAAUCUGCGAUAAGCGUCGGUGAGGUGAUAUGAACCGUUAUAACCGGCGAUUUCCGAAUGGGGAAACCCAGUGUGUUUCGACACACUAUCAUUAACUGAAUCCAUAGGUUAAUGAGGCGAACCGGGGGAACUGAAACAUCUAAGUACCCCGAGGAAAAGAAAUCAACCGAGAUUCCCCCAGUAGCGGCGAGCGAACGGGGAGGAGCCCAGAGCCUGAAUCAGUGUGUGUGUUAGUGGAAGCGUCUGGAAAGGCGCGCGAUACAGGGUGACAGCCCCGUACACAAAAAUGCACAUACUGUGAGCUCGAUGAGUAGGGCGGGACACGUGGUAUCCUGUCUGAAUAUGGGGGGACCAUCCUCCAAGGCUAAAUACUCCUGACUGACCGAUAGUGAACCAGUACCGUGAGGGAAAGGCGAAAAGAACCCCGGCGAGGGGAGUGAAAAAGAACCUGAAACCGUGUACGUACAAGCAGUGGGAGCCUCUUAAUGGGGUGACUGCGUACCUUUUGUAUAAUGGGUCAGCGACUUAUAUUCUGUAGCAAGGUUAACCGAAUAGGGGAGCCGAAGGGAAACCGAGUCUUAACUGGGCGUUAAGUUGCAGGGUAUAGACCCGAAACCCGGUGAUCUAGCCAUGGGCAGGUUGAAGGUUGGGUAACACUAACUGGAGGACCGAACCGACUAAUGUUGAAAAAUUAGCGGAUGACUUGUGGCUGGGGGUGAAAGGCCAAUCAAACCGGGAGAUAGCUGGUUCUCCCCGAAAGCUAUUUAGGUAGCGCCUCGUGAAUUCAUCUCCGGGGGUAGAGCACUGUUUCGGCAAGGGGGUCAUCCCGACUUACCAACCCGAUGCAAACUGCGAAUACCGGAGAAUGUUAUCACGGGAGACACACGGCGGGUGCUAACGUCCGUCGUGAAGAGGGAAACAACCCAGACCGCCAGCUAAGGUCCCAAAGUCAUGGUUAAGUGGGAAACGAUGUGGGAAGGCCCAGACAGCCAGGAUGUUGGCUUAGAAGCAGCCAUCAUUUAAAGAAAGCGUAAUAGCUCACUGGUCGAGUCGGCCUGCGCGGAAGAUGUAACGGGGCUAAACCAUGCACCGAAGCUGCGGCAGCGACGCUUAUGCGUUGUUGGGUAGGGGAGCGUUCUGUAAGCCUGUGAAGGUGGCCUGUGAGGGUUGCUGGAGGUAUCAGAAGUGCGAAUGCUGACAUAAGUAACGAUAAAGCGGGUGAAAAGCCCGCUCGCCGGAAGACCAAGGGUUCCUGUCCAACGUUAAUCGGGGCAGGGUGAGUCGACCCCUAAGGCGAGGCCGAAAGGCGUAGUCGAUGGGAAACAGGUUAAUAUUCCUGUACUUGGUGUUACUGCGAAGGGGGGACGGAGAAGGCUAUGUUGGCCGGGCGACGGUUGUCCCGGUUUAAGCGUGUAGGCUGGUUUUCCAGGCAAAUCCGGAAAAUCAAGGCUGAGGCGUGAUGACGAGGCACUACGGUGCUGAAGCGACAAAUGCCCUGCUUCCAGGAAAAGCCUCUAAGCAUCAGGUAACAUUAAAUCGUACCCCAAACCGACACAGGUGGUCAGGUAGAGAAUACCAAGGCGCUUGAGAGAACUCGGGUGAAGGAACUAGGCAAAAUGGUGCCGUAACUUCGGGAGAAGGCACGCUGAUAUGUAGGUGAAGCGACUUGCUCGUGGAGCUGAAAUCAGUCGAAGAUACCAGCUGGCUGCAACUGUUUAUUAAAAACACAGCACUGUGCAAACACGAAAGUGGACGUAUACGGUGUGACGCCUGCCCGGUGCCGGAAGGUUAAUUGAUGGGGUUAGCGGUAACGCGAAGCUCUUGAUCGAAGCCCCGGUAAACGGCGGCCGUAACUAUAACGGUCCUAAGGUAGCGAAAUUCCUUGUCGGGUAAGUUCCGACCUGCACGAAUGGCGUAAUGAUGGCCAGGCUGUCUCCACCCGAGACUCAGUGAAAUUGAACUCGCUGUGAAGAUGCAGUGUACCCGCGGCAAGACGGAAAGACCCCGUGAACCUUUACUAUAGCUUGACACUGAACAUUGAGCCUUGAUGUGUAGGAUAGGUGGGAGGCUUUGAAGUGUGGACGCCAGUCUGCAUGGAGCCGACCUUGAAAUACCACCCUUUAAUGUUUGAUGUUCUAACGUGGGCCCCUUACCGGGGUUGCGGACAGUGUCUGGUGGGUAGUUUGACUGGGGCGGUCUCCUCCUAAAGAGUAACGGAGGAGCACGAAGGUUGGCUAAUCCUGGUCGGACAUCAGGAGGUUAGUGCAAUGGCAUAAGCCAGCUUGACUGCGAGCGUGACGGCGCGAGCAGGUGCGAAAGCAGGUCAUAGUGAUCCGGUGGUUCUGAAUGGAAGGGCCAUCGCUCAACGGAUAAAAGGUACUCCGGGGAUAACAGGCUGAUACCGCCCAAGAGUUCAUAUCGACGGCGGUGUUUGGCACCUCGAUGUCGGCUCAUCACAUCCUGGGGCUGAAGUAGGUCCCAAGGGUAUGGCUGUUCGCCAUUUAAAGUGGUACGCGAGCUGGGUUUAGAACGUCGUGAGACAGUUCGGUCCCUAUCUGCCGUGGGCGCUGGAGAACUGAGGGGGGCUGCUCCUAGUACGAGAGGACCGGAGUGGACGCAUCACUGGUGUUCGGGUUGUCAUGCCAAUGGCACUGCCCGGUAGCUAAAUGCGGAAGAGAUAAGUGCUGAAAGCAUCUAAGCACGAAACUUGCCCCGAGAUGAGUUCUCCCUGACUCCUUGAGAGUCCUGAAGGAACGUUGAAGACGACGACGUUGAUAGGCCGGGUGUGUAAGCGCAGCGAUGCGUUGAGCUAACCGGUACUAAUGAACCGUGAGGCUUAACCUUACAACGCCGAAG